rnacentral:rRNA from 1 species
UACGUAGGGGGCGAGCGUUGUCCGGAUUUAUUGGGCGUAAAGGGCGCGUAGGCGGCCUUCUAAGUCGAACGUGAAAUCCCCGGGCUCAACCCGGGAACUGCGUCCGAUACUGGAAGGCUUGAAUCCGGGAGAGGGAUGCGGAAUUCCAGGUGUAGCGGUGAAAUGCGUAGAUAUCUGGAGGAACACCGGUGGCGAAGGCGGCAUCCUGGACCGGUAUUGACGCUGAGGCGCGAAAGCCAGGGGAGCAAACGGG